rnacentral:rRNA from 1 species
UACGUAGGUGGCGAGCGUUGUCCGGAUUUACUGGGCGUAAAGCGUGCGCAGGCGGUUUCGUAAGUCUGUCGUGAAAUCCCCGGGCUUAACCUGGGAAUGGCGAUGGAGACUGCGAGGCUAGAGUUUGGCAGAGGGGGGUAGAAUUCCACGUGUAGCAGUGAAAUGCGUAGAGAUCCCGAGGAACUCCUGUGGCGAAGGCGACUUUCUGGGCCUGCUUUGACACUCAGACGCGAAAGCAUGGGGAGCGAACGGG